UUUGUACUCCCUCCGUCCCAAUAUUCUUAUCUUCGAUUCGUCUAGAUACGGAUGUAUCUAAUACUAAAAUGUGACUUGAUACAUCCGUAUUUAGACAAAUCUAAGACAAGAAUUUUGAGACGGAGGGACUAUCUC
rfam:Triticum aestivum genome assembly, contig: Triticum_aestivum_CS42_TGACv1_scaffold_621469_7DS